GUGCUCACUUCAGCAGUACAUAUACUAAAAUUGGAACAAUAUAGAGAAUAUUAGCAUGGCCUCUGUGCAAGAUGGCACGCAAAUUCGUGAAGUAUUGAAAUAGAAC